UAAAUCGUUGGGACGAUCGCGAAUGCCUA
rnacentral:piRNA from 1 species